rnacentral:rRNA from 1 species
CUACGGGUGGCAGCAGUGGGGAAUAUUGCACAAUGGGGGAAACCCUGAUGCAGCAACGCCGCGUGGAGGAUGACGCAUUUCGGUGUGUAAACUCCUUUUAUAUAGGAAGAUAAUGACGGUACUAUAUGAAUAAGCACCGGCUAACUCCGUGCCAGCAGCCGCGGUAAUACGGAGGGUGCAAGCGUUACUCGGAAUCACUGGGCGUAAAGCGCGCGCAGGCGGCCUUUUAAGUUGGAUGUGAAAGCCUAUGGCUUAACCAUAGAACUGCAUCCAAAACUAUCAGGCUAGAGUCUGGGAGGGGAAGAUGGAAUUAGUUGUGUAGGGGUAAAAUCCGUAGAGAUAACUAGGAAUACCAAAAGCGGAGGCGAUCUUCUGGAACAGUACUGACGCUGAGGCGCGAAAGCGUGGGGAGCAAACAGGAUUAGAUACCCUCGUAGUC